rnacentral:sRNA from 1 species
AAUGAGGAGGUGAGAAAAGUCUUCCAAUGCGUUUUUAGGAGAGAGGAGAAGGCUAUGAUUGUAUCUCAUGCUGAUCCUAGGGAACCAGAUCCACAUGCACGUAACAGCUAAGGAAUAUGGUGCCCGUGUCUCCAACCUACACAUGUACUCAGCUGUCUGUGCUGACGUCAUCCGCCGAUGGGCCUACCCUCUCACCCCAGAGGCGAACUUCACUGACAGCACCACCCAGAGCUGCACUCAUUCCCGGCACAACAUCUACCGAGGGCCUGAGGUCAGCUUGGGCCAUGGCAGCAUCCUAGAGGAAAAUGUGCUCCUGGGCUCUGGCACUGUCAUUGGCAGCAAUUGCUUUAUCACCAACAGUGUCAUUGGCCCCGGCUGCCACAUUGGUGAGCACAGGUGGGGAAUCAAGCCAACUAUCCUAGGAACAGGAACCUGGGGGCGCCAUGUCUCCAGAAACACAAGGGAUGGCUACACAAGGGACAGUCCCUGGGAAUAAGGAACUAGAGUGGCUACCUCAGGAAAGGAGGAAACAGCGAUUUGAAAACAGCGAUACCUUAAUUUG